rnacentral:misc_RNA from 1 species
AAGUCGUAACAAGGUUUCCGUAGGUGAACCUGCGGAAGGAUCAUUACAGUAUUCUUUUUGCCAGCGCUUAAUUGCGCGGCGAAAAAACCUUACACACAGUGUUUUUUGUUAUUACAAGAACUUUUGCUUUGGUCUGGACUAGAAAUAGUUUGGGCCAGAGGUUUACUGAACUAAACUUCAAUAUUUAUAUUGAAUUGUUAUUUAUUUAAUUGUCAAUUUGUUGAUCAAAUUCAAAAAAUCUUCAAAACUUUCAACAACGGAUCUCUUGGUUCUC